rnacentral:lncRNA from 1 species
CUGGUAUAGCACAAGUAUAUUAAGCAAAUAAAUAAACAAGCUUGCUCCACUCAGCACUUGAUGGCAAAUAUAUGCAGAAGAGUUACUCUCUCACAAACUAAAAGGUGAGCUAAUAUGGCACAUGUCAAUAAUCUACCCGCGCGUGCAUUUUAUGUUUCAAGCCUAACCAACCACCAGAGUGUCCUAUUGCACAAACAAAUGGGACAUGCAGUAGUCUGAGCGUCCAACCCACCCACACCAACCCCAAACAUCAGAACCUGACUAACAAAUAAUCUCCAGUUAAGUCUCUGGCCUCCUUGAUUCUAAGGAAAAGCGGCAGCUAGCCUCAUGGCCUGUGCUUCAGCGCAUUCGGAGUAGCCCC